rnacentral:rRNA from 1 species
GAUGAACGCUGGCGGCGUGCCUAACACAUGCAAGUCGAGCGAUUCUCUUCGGAGAAGAGCGGCGGACGGGUGAGUAACGCGUGGGUAACCUGCCCUGUACACACGGAUAACAUACCGAAAGGUAUGCUAAUACGAGAUGAUAUGCUUUUAUUGCAUGGUAGAAGUAUCAAAGCUUUUGCGGUACAGGAUGGACCCGCGUCUGAUUAGCUAGUUGGUAAGGUAACGGCUUACCAAGGCGACGAUCAGUAGCCGACCUGAGAGGGUGAUCGGCCACAUUGGAACUGAGACACGGUCCAAACUCCUACGGGAGGCAGCAGUGGGGAAUAUUGCACAAUGGGCGAAAGCCUGAUGCAGCAACGCCGCGUGAGCGAUGAAGGCCUUCGGGUCGUAAAGCUCUGUCCUCAAGGGAGAUAAUGACGGUACUUGAGGAGGAAGCCCCGGCUAACUACGUGCCAGCCGCCGCAGUAA